CGGGAAAUGAAAACCCAAGCUACAGCAAGACAGGCUGUACACUGAUGUCGGCGUCGGUCGUCGAUAAAAGUGACAAGCGGUGAAGCGUGUCGGCAUUUAUACAUGUGCCGUCGAAUAUUCCAGCGUUAUCGCUGUCUGCCGCGCACGCUCUAGAAUAAGCUCUAGUGUUCGCGUCUUGCGCGCAAUCUUAACAAAACAAUCUAUAAUAAUCGCGAAGCUUCUCGAACAAUAAGGCGCGGUUUGCGCUGAGCGUUGCUGACAGUCUUUGAGGGCGAAAACC
rnacentral:lncRNA from 1 species